UGGGAAACUGGGUCUAAUACCGGAUAGGACACACUGCCGCAUGGUGGUGUGUGGAAAGCUCCGGCGGUACAGGUUGAGCCCGCGGCCUAUCAGCUUGUUGGUGGGGUGAUGGCCUACCAAGGCGACGACGGGUAGCCGGCCUGAGAGGGUGACCGGCCACACUGGGACUGAGACACGGCCCAGACUCCUACGGGAGGCAGCAGUGGGGAAUAUUGCACAAUGGGCGCAAGCCUGAUGCAGCGACGCCGCGUGGGGGAUGACGGCCUUCGGGUUGUAAACCCCUUUCGCCAGGGACGAAGCGUAAGUGACGGUACCUGGAGAAGAAGCACCGGCCAACUACGUGCCAGCAGCCGCGGUAAUACGUAGGGUGCAAGCGUUGUCCGGAAUUAUUGGGCGUAAAGAGCUCGUAGGCGGUGUGUCACGUCUGCCGUGAAAACCUGCGGCUUAACCGUGGGCGUGCGGUGGAUACGGGCAUCACUUGAGUUCGGUAGGGGAGACUGGAAUUCCUGGUGUAGCGGUGGAAUGCGCAGAUAUCAGGAGGAACACCGGUGGCGAAGGCGGGUCUCUGGGCCGAUACUGACGCUGAGGAGCGAAAGCGUG
rnacentral:rRNA from 1 species